AGAGUUUGAUCCUGGCUCAGAACGAACGCUGGCGGCAGGCUUAACACAUGCAAGUCGAACGCCCCGCAAGGGGAGUGGCAGACGGGUGAGUAACACGUGGGAACGUGCCCUAAGGUACGGAACAACUCCGGGAAACUGGAGCUAAUACCGUAUGUGCCCGAGAGGGGAAAGAUUUAUCGCCUUAGGAUCGGCCCGCGUCUGAUUAGCUAGUUGGCAGGGUAAUGGCCUACCAAGGCUACGAUCAGUAGCUGGUCUGAGAGGAUGACCAGCCACACUGGGACUGAGACACGGCCCAGACUCCUACGGGAGGCAGCAGUGGGGAAUAUUGGACAAUGGGCGAAAGCCUGAUCCAGCCAUGCCGCGUGAGUGAUGAAGGCCUUAGGGUUGUAAAGCUCUUUCGGCGGGGACGAUAAUGACGGUACCCGCAGAAGAAGCCCCGGCUAACUUCGUGCCAGCAGCCGCGGUAAUACGAAGGGGGCUAGCGUUGUUCGGAAUUACUGGGCGUAAAGCGUAUGUAGGCGGGUCGUUAAGUCGGGGGUGAAAUCCCGAGGCUCAACCUCGGAACUGCCUUCGAUACUGGCGACCUUCGAGUCCGGGAGAGGUGAGUGGAACUCCGAGUGUAGAGGUGAAAUUCGUAGAUAUUCGGAAGAACACCAGUGGCGAAGGCGGCUCACUGGCCCGGUACUGACGCUGAAAUACGAAAGCGUGGGGAGCAAACAGGAUUAGAUACCC
rnacentral:rRNA from 1 species